rnacentral:tRNA from 1 species
GCCGAUAUGGGAUAAUGGUAUUCCAGUAGCUUGCUAAGCUAUCCAACAGAGAUGUUGUCUGUGUUCGAUUCACAGUAUCGGCG